rnacentral:rRNA from 1 species
UACGAAGGGGGCUAGCGUUGUCCGGAAUUAUUGGGCGUAAAGAGCUCGUAGGCGGUCAGUCGCGUCUGCUGUGAAAACUCGGGGCUUAACUCCGGGCCUGCAGUGGGUACGGGCUGACUAGAGUGCGGUAGGGGAGACUGGAAUUCCUGGUGUAGCGGUGAAAUGCGCAGAUAUCAGGAGGAACACCGGUGGCGAAGGCGGGUCUCUGGGCCGUAACUGACGCUGAGGAGCGAAAGCGUGGGGAGCGAACAGG